rnacentral:misc_RNA from 1 species
UGCGCAUCACCUCUUGCUUGUCUAGAUCAGCCCGGACGUUGGCAUGUGUAGCGUAUUUUGUCGGGUUUCGAGAUCAAGAAUCGAUGUCCCUUUGUUGGUUGGUUUUCCGAGAAUCCUUGACCCUUGAUUUGUUACUUUCGCAUCGUUCGAUGCAUGUUUUCCGAGAAUCCUUGACCCUUGAUUUGUUACUUUCGCAUCGUUCGGUGCAUGUUUUCCGAGAAUCCUUGACCCUUGAUUUGUUACUUUCGCAUCGUUCGGUGCAUGUUUUCCGAGAAUCCUUGACCCUUGAUUUGUUACUUUCGCAUCGUUUGGUGCAUGUUUUCCGAGAAUCCUUGACCCUUGAUUUGUUACUUUCGCAUCGUUCGGUGCAUUCUGGGGGAUGUUUUGGCUUUUGGUGGCUUACUUGGCCUUUUGGCUGGGUUUGUUGCUAUUGGUCGGGCGUCUUUCGGGAAUGUCGACCGUGGAGGUGCAUGAGUGGUGUUUGGUUUGUUACGUGUGGAUGGCUGUUUGCUUGCGCAACAACGUUCACGCUGCAUACCUCUUCAGUUUUGUGGCAAGGCUUGGUUUGGCUUGUGCAUAUUGUGGGUUUCCUGUGUUGCAUACCUAGUUGAAGGAAAAGUGUGGGUUUUACGAUUUUCAUUUUCGUCUUGCGUCGUUCUUUCGGCAUGGGAUGAGCAAUGAAGCGAUCUUUAUGAUUCAUCGUGCUGUUGUGUUUGCAACAAUGAUGUGGCCUAUGAAGCAUCGUUUGGUCUCUUGUAUACGGAAGCUCAUUUGGGCUUGGGUCUUUAUAAGAUCUUCGUUAUGCCCUUGUUAAGCGUUCUCGCUUCUCCUAAACGAUUG